rnacentral:rRNA from 1 species
CCUACGGGGGGCUGCAGUCGAGAAUUUUUCACAAUGGGCGAAAGCCUGAUGGAGCGACGCCGCGUGGGGGAUGAAUGGCUUCGGCCCGUAAACCCCUGUCAUUUGCGAAUAAACUCUGGGAUUUAAAAGAUCUCGGAUUGAAAGUAGCAGAAGAGGAAGGGACGGCUAACUCUGUGCCAGCAGCCGCGGUAAUACAGAGGUCCCAAGCGUUGUUCGGAUUUACUGGGCGUAAAGGGUGCGUAGGUGGUAGGGUAAGUUCAGGGUGAAAUCUUCGGGCUCAACCCGAAAAUUGCCUCGAAAACUAUCCUGCUAGAGGAUCAGAGGGGAGACUGGAAUUCUCGGUGUAGCAGUGAAAUGCGUAGAUAUCGAGAGGAACACCUGUGGCGAAGGCGAGUCUCUGGAUGAUUCCUGACACUGAGGCACGAAAGCCAGGGGAGCAAACGGGAUUAGAUACCCCUGUAGUC